GACGAACGCUGGCGGCGUGCUUAACACAUGCAAGUCGAACGGAAAGGCCCUGCUUUUGUGGGGUGCUCGAGUGGCGAACGGGUGAGUAAAACGUGAGUAACCUGCCCUUGACUUUGGGAUAACUUCAGGAAAAUGGGGCUAAUACCGGAUAGGAGCUCCUGCUGCAUGGUGGGGGUUGGAAAGUUUCGGCGGUUGGGGAUGGACUCGCGGCUUAUCAGCUUGUUAGUGGGGUAGUGGCUUACCAAGGCUUUGACGGGUAGCCGGCCUGAGAGGGGGACCGGCCACAUGGGGACUGAGAUACGGCCCAGACGCCUACGGUACGCAGCAGGGGAGAACAUGGCACAGUGGGCGGAAGCCUGAUGCAGCAAUGCCGCGAUCGGGAUGAUCUCCUUCGAGGUGUAAACCGCUUUGGCCGGUGAUGAAGAGUGAGUGACGGUAAUUGGUAAGGAAGCACCGGCUAACUACGUG
rnacentral:rRNA from 1 species